ensembl:lncRNA
CACACGGGCGCCACUGCUCUGCUUUCACUGUGUGGACUAGAGGAGGGUUCAGGCCAGUGCACUGCCCCUCAGCCGGAACAACGAGGAAACGAGGAGCCACGAGGCUAGCUGACCUCCCCCUGCCACUCACACACACACACACUGUUACCUCACACACUCCUGUUGAGUGAGUCGGAGAAAGAGAAGGGGAGAGAGAGACUACUGGGUGGAGAGAAAGAGUAUCGGACACAGAUAAUUACACAAGUCUGGUGGCGCCGCGAUCCAUCUGAGGUGACGUGUCGUGGACGGGAAGAAAGUACGAGGUAAAGGAAGAGUCAUUUGAAGGCUGUUAGCUGCAUAAAGUAAAAAGGAAGGGGAACUUUAAAGAAAGUCUUGUUCGAGUGGGAGGAAGAAGAAGUCGAGUACAAAAAGACAUCUCUCUGUCUGGCAGCCAUGUGAUCUGGCUGUGCUGGGCUCAUGUUCUAAUCAUGAGAGCAAGAGGACUCACUCUGUGAUCUCCCCAGGCCUGGAUGAGUCAGUCAGUCAGUGGGUUAGUCAGUCAGUCAGUCAGUCUGUCAGUCGGUAAGCACCCUAAGCACACAGGAGAAAGGACAUCAACCCUCCGGUCUACACACAGAGAAAGUUACUUGUGUGGUUUAGUGUGUCCCCUGUCCAGCCGAGAGUUCUAGAAACACACAGAGGACAGGACAACGUUGUGGAUUACUGCUGUGGGGAGGGGGGAUGCAGAGUAUGGCCGCCGAGGUCCACCUGGAGCGGCAGAGGAGGUCUGACCUACGGAGAGCCUCAACCUCAGCCUCCACCUCGGCCAAUUUGACCGCUCCUCCCAGGGUUCCCACGGUGAUGCUGACCAGUCACAGGGGGACGCUGUGCAGACGGAACCCUCACAGGCUGGAAUCUGGCAACCCCAACCUGGCAACCAGGAGCCACCGCACAGCCAACCAAGGUAGCACAGAACAGAAGGUUGGAACGAUGCCCGAUUCACCUGCUGAUGUCAAAACCCAGCCCAGGUUGACUCCGCCCACAAUGCCACCUCCACCCCCGGCCGUCAGCCAGGCACCCAAUCGCAACGCUUCAUUCACACCCACCACCAGUAGGUCAAGUAAGGCAUUUUUAAAAUUCCUUAUUUCUCUGUUUGCACUCUAAAACAUGUAUGCAUGCUAUCUUUCAAUUUAAAAAAAUACUUAUAUCAUAUCUUACCUGG